rnacentral:rRNA from 1 species
CACGUAGGGUGCGAGCGUUGUCCGGAAUUAUUGGGCGUAAAGAGCUCGUAGGCGGUGUGUCGCGUCGGCCGUGAAAACCUGUGGCUUAACUGCGGGCUUGCGGUCGAUACGGGCAUCACUGGAGUUCGGCAGGGGAGACUGGAAUUCCUGGUGUAGCGGUGAAAUGCGCAGAUAUCAGGAGGAACACCGGUGGCGAAGGCGGGUCUCUGGGCAACUACUGACGCUGAGGAGCGAAAGCGUGGGGAGCGAACAGG